AACGAACGCUGGCGGCAUGCCUAAUACAUGCAAGUCGAACGAUCACUUCGGUGGUAGUGGCGCACGGGUGCGUAACGCGUGGGAAUCUGCCCUUGGGUUCGGAAUAACGUCGGGAAACUGACGCUAAUACCGGAUGAUGACGUAAGUCCAAAGAUUUAUCGCCCAGGGAUGAGCCCGCGUAGGAUUAGCUAGUUGGUGGGGUAAAGGCCUACCAAGGCGACGAUCCUUAGCUGGUCUGAGAGGAUGAUCAGCCACACUGGGACUGAGACACGGCCCAGACUCCUACGUGAGACAGCAGUAGGGAAUAUUGGACAAUGGGGGCAACCCUGAUCCAGCAAUGCCGCGUGAGUGAUGAAGGCCUUAGGGUUGUAAAGCUCUUUUACCCGGGAUGAUAAUGACAGUACCGGGAGAAUAAGCCCCGGCUAACUCCGUGCCAGCCGCCGCCGUAA
rnacentral:rRNA from 1 species